rnacentral:lncRNA from 1 species
AAAAAAGAGCUUAAAAGAUAAUUACAUAAUUAAAAUUUAAUUCAAAAAAAUUCCUAAUAAUCCAAAACAAUUGCAUAACUGGCCAAAAAGAGAAAUUCCAAAUUAAAGUUUGUACAUGUUACAACCAAUCCCUAAGUUCAUAAUCCAAAAGGUCUCUGUUACAUCAGAAAUAAUUUUAUUAAAAAAUUGGAAUAAGACACAGCAGUUUGAGGCAAAUUUCACAGACUCUUCCAAAAGCUCUUUUGGAAGUUCCUUGGAAGUUCCCAAUUCAAAAGCAACUCUUCAGAACUUUCCCAAAAAACCUGUUGAAUAAUAGUGCCCCUUUUUCAAUCAAUCAGCAUCAACAUCACUUCACCUGCAAAAACCAAUUCAAAAUCAAAAAACAGCUUAUUCAAAAAGCACUUUUCAAAAGCGCUUAAAAAACUGAAAAAUAACUAAACAAAUUAUUCAGUUUGAAGCUUUAUCCAUAAGGUUAACAUAAACAUCCAAAAAGCACUUUUGGCAUUAGCUUAAAACAGAAUAAACCAAAUCCCACAUAAUCUGGGAUGGGAAAUUCAAAAAGCAAGGAGUUUCUUAAAGACUGUAUCUGAUCUUCAAAAACGGAGGGGAGAGGUUAACAGGGAGAGACAACACAGUAAGAAAUUAUUUCUAAAAAGAAACCAAAACAACACAACAGCAAGAACAAAUCAAUUUUUUCUAAGAGCCCUAAAAAGUUAACAGCAAGAGGAUACACAACAAAGAUAUUUUUCUCAAAACCCUAAACCAGUACACAACAGAAAACGCAUAGCAAGAACAACAACAAAGAGCAAUAUUUUCAAAAAGCCCUAAAAAAAACCGAAACAGAAGAAGGAGGCUUAUCUGAAGACGGGACGCAUCAAACUCAGCUUCAUCUUCUUCUUCUUCCAACGAAUCCUUCCAAACCUCCAACGAGCACCCUCACAAAACCACGAUUUCUCCGCCGGCCACAAUCAACCUUCAAUCGCUCCUCACCGGCGCAACCUCCAUGACGGCUUCAGUUGGUCUGUGAGGUCUCACAACCACAAUCGCUCAUUUUGGGAAAAUUUUGAAGGUACGAUUCUGAAGUUUCUGUUGUAAAAACCUAAUUAUGUUGGUGAGAACUUGGGCCUUUGGCCCAAUCAAUUUUGGCCUGCAUGCACACUCCCUCGAUGCUACUGCACCCCAUCCGAAUGGGCUGUGAUAGCCUUUGUUGAGCCCAUUCUCAACUUCUAUGGGCUUAUUCCUUUGUUUUUGGUUACUAGUUAAUAUAGGUUACUUAGCUUAAUUAGAUGAUUAGGUAUUAAUUAGAUUAAAU